UAUUACACACUGCUGCACACCUACACACUGCAGACAUAUAGAGAGAGAGAGAGAGAGAGAGAGAGAGGGAAGGAGGGAGCGUGUCUCUGAAUUCAUCCGGAGAAGUCGACAGCUUGUGUCUGUUGGUUCAGAUCCAAACAGAGUUAUGUGAAGAGAAACUGCCCUGCAGCUGGCAGAGAGGGCCACACUGAGGAGGAAGACAAGGUCACCGUCUACUGUUCACUCUGGUCUGCUGUCAGAGAGACGGAGGGAAGAAGAAGAGAUCGUAGAGAGGUGAAAGACGACUGGAACGAAGGGAUGGAAAAAGAAGGAGACAGAUGAAUGGAAGGACAUAGACAAUCAGAAGGAUGUGGGAAUGAAAAGUGACAAGAAUGGAGUUAUAAAAGAAGGAUGAGGGGAGGUGGAAGUAAUCAGUGGACGAGGGGAAGGUAAGGGAAGGGUGGAGGAAAGGACUGGAGAAGCAGGGAAAAGAGGGAAGCAUAUACGGGACAGAACAGAGGUAAAAAAUUGAGAGAUGGAAGGAAAAGACAAAGGGGAGGGACAAAGGAGUGGAUGAAUGGAAGGAUGAGGGAGGUAAAUGAUCAAAGAUGGAAUUAAAAAUUGGAGGGAAUGAUGGACAGAUGGACAGAAAGAAGGAAAAUUGAAUUGAGAAAGGAAGCAAAAAUAUGGAGGAUGAAUUCCCGCUACGGAAAAAUCUUAAUUGAAACCAUCAUGUGUGAGAAAACUCAAACAAUCUAUCCACGGACUCUUUCUGGAGCAACGAUUCGCCUCUGCUCCUGUUUUUAUGUGCAUUUUCAAUUUAUGCAUAAAAAAACACGAGUGGAAAAGCCGAAAAUUAAAAAAAACUCAAAAUAUCGCAAAAAUGUUUUUAUGCUUGGCUGAGGUGGAAAAGUUGGUGUGUCGAUAAAAGCAAAAUGCGACAAAGUGCAAUGGUAGCAGACUUAGCGAAUUAAUCACAACCUAGGCAACAUGAAGCAUGUGACUUAAACGUCACUCAA